rnacentral:rRNA from 1 species
UACAGAGGGUGCAAGCGUUAAUCGGAAUUACUGGGCGUAAAGCGCGCGUAGGUGGUUCGUUAAGUUGGAUGUGAAAUCCCCGGGCUCAACCUGGGAACUGCAUUCAAAACUGACGAGCUAGAGUAUGGUAGAGGGUGGUGGAAUUUCCUGUGUAGCGGUGAAAUGCGUAGAUAUCAGGAGGAACACCAGUGGCGAAGGCGGCCUUCUGGACAGUGACUGACGCUGAGACGCGAAAAGCGUGGGGAGCAAACAGG